rnacentral:rRNA from 1 species
UCCCUUAGGUCAGCGGCGGACGGGUGAGUAACACGUGGGUAACCUGCCUGUAAGACUGGGAUAACUCCGGGAAACCGGGGCUAAUACCGGAUGCUUGAUUGAACCGCAUGGUUCACUCAUAAAAGGUGGCUUUUAGCUACCACUUGCAGAUGGACCCGCGGCGCAUUAGCUAGUUGGUGAGGUAACGGCUCACCAAGGCGACGAUGCGUAGCGACCUGAGAGGGUGAUCGGCCACACUGGGACUGAGACACGGCCCAGACUCCUACGGGAGGCAGCAGUAGGGAAUCUUCCGCAAUUGGACGAAAGUCUGACGGAGCAACGCCGCGUGAUUGAUGAAGGUUUCCGGAUCGUANAACUCUGUUGUNAGGGAAGAACAAGUACCGCUCGAAUAGGGCGGUACCUUGACGGUACCUAACCAGAAAGCCACGGNUAACUACGUGCCAGCAGCCGUCGGUUAUACGUAGGUGGCAAGCGUUGUCCGGAAUUAUUGGGCGUUAUGCGCGCGCAGGCGGUUUCUUAAGUCUGUAUGUGUUAACCCCCGGCUCAACCGGGGAGGGUCAUUGGAAACUGG